GGCACCCUGCCAUGCUCGUGAUGUGCCAGAUAUUUUUGAGCCACAACUCAAGAGACGGGGGCCUGAACAUCCGGCGGAGUGGUGGUCCGCGUAAUGCGGACGACGCGAACCCGGAGCUAGGGCGCCCACCUGGAGAUAUCCAGGUUCAAAAAUCUCGUACCCACGGCAUCGGCGGGGCGCUU
rnacentral:other from 1 species